ACUGAACGCUGGCGGCAUGCCUUACACAUGCAAGUCGAACGGUAACAGGUUAAGCUGACGAGUGGCGUACGGGUGAGUAAUACAUCGGAACGUGCCCAGUAGUGGGGGAUAGCCCGGCGAAAGCCGGAUUAAUACCGCAUACGACCUAAGGGUGAAAGGGGGGGAUCGCAAGACCUCUCGCUAUUGGAGCGGCCGAUGUCAGAUGAGGUAGUUGGUGGGGUAAAGGCCCACCAAGCCGACGAUCUGUAGCUGGUCUGAGAGGACGACCAGCCACACUGGGACUGAGACGCGGCCCAGACUCCUACGGGAGGCAGCAGUGGGGAAUUUUGGACAAUGGGCGCAAGCCUGAUCCAGCCAUGCCGCGUGCGGGAAGAAGGCCUUCGGGUUGUAAACCGCUUUUGUCAGGGAAGAAAUCCUUUGGGUUAAUACCUCGGGGGGAUGACGGUACCUGAAGAAUAAGCACCGGCUAACUACGUGCCAGCCGCCACGGUAA
rnacentral:rRNA from 1 species